GUGGGAAAAGCUCAACUUUGAAAUCUGGCUGUUUUACAGUCCGAGUUGUAGUCUCGAGAGGUGUUUUCCGCGUUAAACCGUGUAUGAGUCUGUUGGAACACAGCGUCAUAGAGGGUGAGAACCCCGUUCAUGACACGGCUUUUAAUGCUUUGUGAUACACUUUCGAUGAGUCGAGUUGUUUGGGAAUGCAGCUCAAAUUGGGUGGUAAAUUCCAUCUAAAGCUAAAUAUUGGCGAGAGACCGAUAGCAAACAAGUACCGUGAGGGAAAGAUGAAAAGCACUUUGGAAAGAGAGUUAAAAGUACGUGAAAUUGUCGAAAGGGAAACGCUUGAAGUCAGACGUGCACGGGAUUUAUUCCUAUUGCAGGCCAACAUCGGUUUUACGAGCCGGAUAAAGGUACAAGGAAGGUAGCAGUUUCGGCUGUGUUAUAGCCUUGUACUGAAUACGGAUUGUGAGACCGAGGGACG
rnacentral:rRNA from 1 species